rnacentral:rRNA from 1 species
UACGAAGGGGGCUAGCGUUGUUCGGAAUUACUGGGCGUAAAGCGCGCGCAGGCGGUCUUUCAAGUCAGUGGUGAAAGCCCGGAGCUCAACUCCGGAAAUGCCAUUGAAACUGUAAGACUUGAGGAUGAGAGAGGUGAGUGGAAUUCCCAGUGUAGAGGUGAAAUUCGUAGAUAUUGGGAAGAACACCGGUGGCGAAGGCGGCUCACUGGCUCAUUUCUGACGCUCAGGCGCGACAGCGUGGGGAUCAAACAGG